rnacentral:tRNA from 1 species
GUGGGUAUAGCUCAGUGGUAGGGCGCAUGCCUAGCACAAUGAGGUCCUGGGUUUUAUCCCCAGUACCUCCA